GUUUCUGCCAUUAAGGGGGAAGAGGCUCUUAUUUCUUUAGCAACUCCUCCCAACAUCCUCCCCUCCGAAUCGCGGCUGAUGCAAGCUAUGGAAUUCUUCAGCGAACCAGCUUUUCGGAUCUGGGGACUGAUUCUGGGUUGUGGUCGCUGCAGUCCGCGUCGGGCUCUCCUCCAUAAAUCAGCGAAGCUUUCUUCUUCCGGCACAUGGUUUUCCUGCCUCCGCUCAUCACCCUUCGGAAGACAUGGACCUUUCGGAAGAGACGGCCCUCCGUCCUGCUCGCGUUCACUCCUUCCCGAAGUUUCUUCCUCUCCCGUUUCUUCUGCUGGAGUUCGGGUUUGCAGCACACCGUGCGGUCUCCUUGUCUCAGAUCCGCCCUCUGCAGCUUCUCUAGUUUGAGAUCUGCAGGUUUCAUUUGGUCUCUGAUCUUCCACUUGAGCCUUUGGAGGUUCAGAUCUGUUAAUUGCGUGGGUUCUUUGUCCAUCAACUUGGUGGGUCUCAGCAGGUCUUCUGUUUGCGUGUAUUUGUUGUCCAUCAGUUUCGGGAGUCUGGGAUUGCAUCUGACCUGUGCUAACUCUGUUCCACGAACCAACAAAGCAGCCGCUUGGUCGAACUGAUCCUCCGUUUGGCUCGCCUACACGGCUCUCUUCAUUAGUCCCCUCUAAUCCGGUUCGAUUUUUCAGCUGACCAUUCGACCCCGGAAUGUCAGAUCUACCCGCUGCCCACCCUUCUUUAGCAGUAUUUCGAAGUUCAGGGGUGCUGUGCGACGAUGAUGCAUCUCUUCUUGUUACUCUUUUUUGAUUCUCUCCUACCGUCGGUGUCUCUCUUUGUCUGGAUUCCCCCGCACCACUCAACCUUGGUGGCGUUUUUCCUCUCCACUCAUCAUCUCUAUGUUGAUUUUGAGGUUGUAACUCUUCCCCUAAUUCUCCGUUCCCCUGUCUUGGUUCUUCAGUUAUGUCUCUAACCCCUGUUUGUAUUGUUUUAGUUGCAGAUCUUUCGUCUGUGCUAUCAUUUGGACCACCCUUCCUUGGAUUCCACCUGUUAUAGCUUUUCAAAACCGCUAGUGCUGAGUCGAUGAUAGCCGAUGCCUCUGGUUCUAUACCCCGAAAGACGGCCUGAUUUCGGGCCUUCCACAUAUUCCACAGCGUAACAGCCACCAAGUGCAGCUCUGUAUUAUCCCAUAUUUGUUUUGUCCACGGACACAGCAGGAAGAGAUGUUCGACCGUUUCUCUCUCAUAAUGGCAUAAUGGACACAAUGGAUCAGGUGAUACUUUCCUUCGAAACAGAUUGUCUUUUGUUGGAAGAGCAUUUUGACUCAGAUUCCACAUAAAAAUUCUUAUC